rnacentral:rRNA from 1 species
CCUACGGGAGGCAGCAGUGGGGAAUAUUGCACAAUGGGCGCAAGCCUGAUGCAGCCAUGCCGCGUGUGUGAAGAAGGCCUUCGGGUUGUGAAGCACUUUCAGCGGGGAGGAAGGCGGUGAGGUUAAUAACCUCAUCGAUUGACGUUACCCGCAGAAGAAGCACCGGCUAACUCCGUGCCAGCAGCCGCGGUAAUACGGAGGGUGCAAGCGUUAAUCGGAAUUACUGGGCGUAAAGCGCACGCAGGCGGUCUGUCAAGUCGGAUGUGAAAUCCCCGGGCUCAACCUGGGAACUGCAUUCGAAACUGGCAGGCUAGAGUCUUGUAGAGGGGGGUAGAAUUCCAGGUGUAGCGGUGAAAUGCGUAGAGAUCUGGAGGAAUACCGGUGGCGAAGGCGGCCCCCUGGACAAAGACUGACGCUCAGGUGCGAAAGCGUGGGGAGCAAACAGGAUUAGAUACCCCAGUAGUC